rnacentral:rRNA from 1 species
UACGGAGGGGGCUAGCGUUGUUCGGAAUUACUGGGCGUAAAGCGCACGUAGGCGGCUUUGUAAGUUAGAGGUGAAAGCCCGGGGCUCAACUCCGGAACUGCCUUUAAGACUGCAUCGCUUGAAUCAUGGAGAGGUUAGUGGAACUGCGAGUGUAGAGGUGAAAUUCGUAGAUAUUCGCAAGAACACCAGUGGCGAAGGCGGGGUCUCUGGACAGUUCCGUGACACUGAGGCACGAAGGCCAGGGGAGCAAACGGG